UACGUAGGGGGCAAGCGUUGUCCGGAUUUAUUGGGCGUAAAGCGCACGCAGGCGGUCUCUUAAGUUUCGAGUGACAGGUCAGGGCUUAACCCUGGCAGGCCUUGGAAAACUGGGGGACUUGAGGGCUUCAGAGGGACGCGGAAUUCCAGGUGGAGCGGUGAAAAUGCGUAGAGAUCUGGAGGAACACCGGUGGCGAAGGCGGGUCUCUGGGCCGAUACUGACGCUGAGGAGCGAAAGCGUGGGGAGCAACAGG
rnacentral:rRNA from 1 species